GCUGCCUGAGUUUCUAUUUCCGUACUAAUUUUUUCCCUUCUUUCUUUCUUUCUUUCUUUCUUUCUUUUUUUUUUUUUGAACCGUGGCCAGGCCGAGAUAACAGAGAAACUUCGAGGACCAGAACACAUGUCUUUCAAAGCUGAACCUCUCAUCUUCAUCUGAUAGGCUUGUAGAGGAUAAUUAUGCGUAAACGAAAUGUUGUGUUCUCAGCUCGUUAGCCUCUUCCUAAGCCUGCAUAGUGCAUGCACAUAGGCACCCACACAAUUGACUUCUCUGUCACUGCCAUCAACAUCGAGAAUUAGAGAAAAAGGCCAUAUGAACCAGAAAUAUUUGGAAAUUAUAAAUAGAGG
rnacentral:sRNA from 2 species